CACGAGAGCGCAGCGCUGCUAUGGGGGCUCGGAGGGAGGCGCAGGCACGGGCGUGGGCAGCGCAACGCGAGCUCUCGUUCAGAUACUUCCCAGUUCCUAUGAGAGCGUAUGGGGUAUAACCCCAUCUAGGACAGCUGCAACUAAACCUGAGCAUCCAGAUUAACCUUUUUUUUAACACAAAACCUCCAGUAAAGAGAAAAUGUCACCUGUUAACAAAAAGUUUUAUUCUGACUAAACAAAAUGUACAAUGCUCUCCAAGUGCUAGCGACUUCUCCUCAUGUUCCGAAGGCUGCAGAUCCGCUGUGCAAGCUGAACGCGUCUUAUCCUGCAGCUCGGAGCUACUUUUUGCCAGACUUCUUUAUUCCGCCGCUCGCUGCCAAAAGAAACAGCACCACGGGUCAGAUGUGGGUGGGUCAGACACAGCUGAGCUCCAGCACUGACAGCCCCACCAGGCCGCCCCUGCAGCUCACAUCCCCACUGGUGAGCUGCUUUACUCUGAACGAUUAACUUAACCUUGAAAACCGAAGUCCCUCCUGGAACUAAACGCCCCCAUAUUCACAAGAGCAUAAAGUAUUCAACAGUUCUUUGCUCCCCCAUCGGUUACUUCUUAUGCAGCAGUCCGAUCAGACCAAAUUUAAGGCUGAAGGAAUAAAAGCGUGAGUAUUUCUACAACAACCAGAGCCCCAUUUGGGACUGCAGUCCCAGUGAAGCAGAUACUGAAAUUAUGAGGGCAUCUGCACACUGCAGUCCCCAUUAUUGAAGACAGUAAAGCACUGUGAAAGAACACAACGUAUUAAUGUGGCAUUGAGUGCAGCACUUCUUGUAAAUGCUGUUUGGUUUUGUUUUACAGCACGUGCCAUAGCUGACCUGUGAAAGGAGAAAAUGACAGUAAGGCCUGAUAGUCAACAGCAGACUUUGCACCAUGAUAUGAUUCUAACAGCGUUGCAUUGCUGAGGCUCUUGGGCAUAGUCUAGCUCCUACAACAAUGUAAUCUCUGUCGGCUCUGGCAAGCAUUGGACGAGAACCAAAUAACUGAAAUUCAACCAAAUAAAAGGAGGAGUGGUAAUGGCAGGACAGAGCCAUCCAGAUGUGCAGAGCUACUCACAACUGAAGCGUCUGAUAGAGAAAAA
ensembl:lncRNA